rfam:Brassica oleracea var. oleracea cultivar TO1000 chromosome C7, whole genome shotgun sequence
GGGAAGUGAGGAUUGGGUUUAAUCUCGCAUAUUUUAUUGCGUGAAGAGCGUUCCGCUCAAACCUUUUUACGACAAUUGGACGCUCCAAUUUUCUUAUCAUCUGAUCCC